CACUGCCGAGAAAAGCCUCUAGAUAGAAAAUAGGUGCCCGUACCGCAAACCGACACAGGUAGUCAAGAUGAGAAUUCUAAGGUGAGCGAGCGAACUCUCGUUAAGGAACUCGGCAAAAUGACCCCGUAACUUCGGGAGAAGGGGUGCUCUUUAGGGUUAACGCCCAGAAGAGCCGCAGUGAAUAGGCCCAAGCGACUGUUUAUCAAAAACACAGGUCUCUGCUAAACCGUAAGGUGAUGUAUAGGGGCUGACGCCUGCCCGGUGCUGGAAGGUUAAGAGGAGUGGUUAGCUUCUGCGAAGCUACGAAUCGAAGCCCCAGUAAACGGCGGCCGUAACUAUAACGGUCCUAAGGUAGCGAAAUUCCUUGUCGGGUAAGUUCCGACCCGCACGAAAGGCGUAACGAUUUGGGCACUGUCUCAACGAGAGACUCGGUGAAAUCAUAGUACCUGUGAAGAUGCAGGUUACCCGCGACAGGACGGAAAGACCCCGUGGAGCUUUACUGUAGCCUGAUAUUGAAAUUCGGCACAGCUUGUACAGGAUAGGUAGGAGCCUUUGAAACGUGAGCGCUAGCUUACGUGGAGGCGCUGGUGGG
rnacentral:rRNA from 1 species